AGANNGGNUAGGAUGACGCUGGCGGCGUGCCUAACACAUGCAAGUCGAGCGAUUUACUUCGGUAAAGAGCGGCGGACGGGUGAGUAACGCGUGGGUAACCUGCCUCAUACACAUGGAUAACAUACCGAAAGGUAUGCUAAUACAGGAUAAUAUAAGAGAUUCACAUGGAUUUUUUAUCAAAGCUCCGGCGGUAUGAGAUGGACCCGCGUCUGAUUAGCUAGUUGGUAAGGUGAUGGCUUACCAAGGCGACGAUCAGUAGCCGACCUGAGAGGGUGAUCGGCCACAUUGGAACUGAGACACGGUCCAAACUCCUACGGGAGGCAGCAGUGGGGAAUAUUGCCCAAUGGGCGAAAGCCUGAUGCAACAACGCCGCGUGAGUGAUGAAGGCCUUCGGGUCGUAAAACUCUGUCCUCAAGGAAGAUAAUGACGGUACUUGAGGAGGGAGCCCCGGGGUAACUACGUGGCCGCCAGCCGCGGUAAUACCUUGGGGGCUAGCGGUUAUCCCGGAAUUACUGGGCGUAAAGGGGGCGGUAAGUGGUUUUUUUAAUCAGGGAGUGGAAAGGUACCGCUCCACCCCUAGUAAGCUCUUUGAAACUGGGAAAACUUGAGUGGCGGGAGAAGGAAAGUGGAAUUCCCUAAUGUAGCGGGGAAAUGCGGUAGAUAAUUAGGAAGGAACCCCCCGUAGCGAAAGCGGCUUUCUUGGACUGUGACUGAAACUGAAGCACCGAAAGCGUGGGGGAGCAAACAAGAUUUAGAUACCCUGGUAGUCCCCCCCCUAAACAAAGAGUAAUACGUGUCGGGGGUUUCCCCCCCUCCGUGGCGCACCUAAAACAUUAAGUACUCCCCCCUGGGGGAGUACNCUCGCCAACAGUGAAACUCUCAAGAAAUUGACGGGGACCCCCACCAAGUAAGCGGAGCCAUGGUGGUUGUAUUUCUAAGCAACAGCGAA
rnacentral:rRNA from 1 species